GAUGAACGCUAGCGGCAGGCCUAAUACAUGCCAGUCGAACGAGAUUAAGAGGCUUGCUUCUUAUGAAAGUGGCGCACGGGUGCGUAACGCGUAUGCAACCUACCUUAAUCAGGGGGAUAGCCCGAAGAAAUUCGGAUUGAGACCGCAUAAAAACACAGGAUAGCAUUAUCCAAUGUUCAAAUAUUUAUAGGAUUAAGAUGGGCAUGCGUGUCAUUAGCUAGUUGGCGGGGUAACGGCCCACCAAGGCGACGAUGACUAGGGGAUCUGAGAGGAUGACCCCCCACACUGGUACUGAGACACGGACCAGACUCCUACGGGAGGCAGCAGUAAGGAAUAUUGGUCAAUGGAGGGAACUCUGAACCAGCCAUGCCGCGUGCAGGAAGACAGCCCUCUGGGUCGUAAACUGCUUUUAGUCGGGAAUAAACCUUUCUACGUGUAGGAAGCUGAAUGUACCGAAGGAAUAAGGAUCGGCUAACUCCGUG
rnacentral:rRNA from 1 species